rnacentral:rRNA from 1 species
AUACGGAGGACGCGAGCGUUAUCCGGAUUCAUUGGGUUUAAAGGAUGCGCAGGCGGCCGUGCAAGUCAGCGGUGAAAGCCCGGGGCUCAACCCCGGAAGUGCCGUUGAUACUGCGUGGCUGGAAUGCGGUCGAGGCGGGCGGAACGUGGCGUGUAGCGGUGAAAAGCGUAGAUAUGCCACAGAACGCCGAUAGCGGAGGCAGCUCGCCAGGCCUGCAUUGACGCUCGGGCACGAAAGCGUGGGGAUCGAACAGGAUUAGAUACCCUGGUAGUCCACGCCGUAAACGAUGGGCGCUCGUCGUCGGCGACAGACAGUCGGCGGCCAAGCGAAAGCGAUAAGCGCCCCACCUGGGGAGUACGGUCGCAAGGCUGAAACUCAAAUGAAUUGACGGGG